CCGGCGCACGGUGAGUAACGCGUAUGCAACUUACUAUCAGGAGGGGAGUAACCCGGCGAAAGUCGGACUAAUACCGCAUGAAGCAGGGGCCCCGCAUGGGGAUAUUUGCUAAAGAUUCAUCGCUGAUAGAUAGGCAUGCGUUCCAUUAGGCAGUUGGCGGGGUAACGGCCCACCAAACCGACGAUGGAUAGGGGUUCUGAGAGGAAGGUCCCCCACAUUGGUACUGAGACACGGACCAA
rnacentral:rRNA from 1 species